rnacentral:rRNA from 1 species
GACGUAGGGCGCGAGCGUUGUCCGGAUUUAUUGGGCGUAAAGAGCUCGUAGGCGGCUUGUCGCGUCGUUCGUGAAAACCUGCGGCUCAACUGCGGGCUUGCGGUCGAUACGGGCAGGCUGGAGUUCGGUAGGGGAGACUGGAAUUCCUGGUGUAGCGGUGAAAUGCGCAGAUAUCAGGAGGAACACCGGUGGCGAAGGCGGGUCUCUGGGCCGAUACUGACGCUGAGGAGCGAAAGCGUGGGGAGCGAACAGG